CGUGUAGGCGGCCUGAUGUGUCAGAUGUGAAAGCCCUGGGCUUAACCCAGGAAGUGCAUUUGAAACUGUUAGGCUUGAGUAGGGGAGAGGGAAGUGGAAUUCCUGGUGUAGAGGUGAAAUUCGUAGAUAUCAGGAGGAACACCGGUGGCGAAGGCGACUUCCUGGCCCUAUACUGACGCUGAGACGCGAGAGCGUGGGUAGCAAACAG
rnacentral:rRNA from 1 species